rnacentral:lncRNA from 1 species
AAUUAACCCAAUCUAUUCAAGACAAAAAAUUUUAAAAAAUGAACAAAGCCUCUAAGAAAUUUGGGACUGUUAAACGUCCAAACAUAAGAAUAAUUGGUGUUCCUGAGAAGAGAAAUCUCUCCCAGCAGGGCUACUGGGCUCUGGGGUGGCACUAGGGAGUAUUUGCGAAGAGUGCUCUGAUGUGAUCUGUCUUCAGAUCUUUCAGCUGUGGAUACCAACACCUACUCUGGUGGAGGUAGCAGAGGAGUGAACUGGACUCCCUUAGGGUCCUUGGUUGUGUUUUUGUUUAAUGCACUGGUUUUGUGUUGGUUGGCCUCCAGCCAGGAGGUGGUGCUUUCAAGAGCUCAUCAGCUGUGGUACCAUAGGGAGAAUGCAAACUUGCCCUAGGGUCACCUGGUUAAGUAUUCAGAUUUCUCAGGUGUGGUGAGCAGGGCCAUAGAGCUCCCAAGAGAUGAUGACCUUUGUCUUUGGCUACCAAGGCGGGUAGAGAAAGAACUCCAGGUUGGGUGCAGGGAUGGGUAUUUCUGGGCUCAGCCUCUCCUUGAGUGGGGCUUGCUGGGGCUGCUGUCGGGGAUGGGAGUGUGGUUCCCAGGCCGACGGAAUUAUGUUCCCAGGGGCAUUAUGGCUGCCUCUGCUGAGUCAUACAGGUCCCCAUGGAAGUGAAGGAAAGCCAGCAGUCAUAGGCCUCACCCUACUCCCAUGCAGCCUGCAGUCCUAAAGGCCAGUGUUACUCCCACUGUGCCCCCACCAACAGCACCGACUCUAUUUCCAGGCCGCUGGUGACCAGGGCUGAGAAGUUGCCCCAGACCAUGAGCCUCCCCACUGAUAAAGCAAGCCGACUCAGUUUUUCAGCCUCUCAGGGAGCCUGCAGUGGUGAUCAAGUUUCUUCAAAGGGUCUGUGGAUUCUCUCAGAUUUUCUGAUAUGUUCCUGGCAUAGUCCUUGGAACAAAAGUUCAUAAUGUGGGUCCUGACGGUCAAAUGCACUUCUAUCAUGGAAGCUGUGCUGAGAACAGUGUUACUACGAUGUCAUUGUACAGUAGUACAUAAUUUGGUAGUUGGAUAAUGGUAUUUAUAUUGGGACUUGAUACAAAAGUAAGCAUUUUAGAUUUGGCUCCAAACAUCUUCUAAGGAAACCACAGACAAUGUAAGUAUUUAUUUAAAACAAUAACAGUCUCCACAAAGUAAAAAGAUACUGGGUUAGAAUGAUACGGAGUAAAUAACUUUUUAGUUAGUUAUAUGUGCUGACAAUGAUGUAUAUGCUAUUACUAGUAUUAUACUAGGAUUAGCUUUCCUACAGGAAUGAAACACAAUGUGGACAAACUUUUUCAGUGAAGUCUUGCCUACUGCCUCUGUGAAAAAAUUUCUAAUUAUGAUUUUAUCAGCCAGGAGGGCUUAAUCUCCUUGACAAAAUAAGAUUGUCUCAGUGACUUGAAAAGCCUUCUAGAAAAAUGUGAAAUUCAAUUAGCCUUAUCUUCCUUCUCGCAUUAAAAAAAUUUCUCUUCAUAUUCAUUGUCCACAUUUUAUCUUAUUUUCAUCAUGAACUCUUGCAGAAACAUGAAGCCAGUGGGCUGCAGGGGUCCAUGAUAGUGGUGUGGAGACUAGAAGGUGGACGCACAUCAGUGUGCAUAGUAAGUUGUUAUUUAGUAGUUACCUUAUGAUAUAUUUUCAUUGGGUAAAUAUGAAUCUAUAAAGAAAUAUCAGAAUCUAAUAUAGAAAUAUACACUUUCUAUUAAAAAGCUUUCCUAAGUACUGAGGUGCUGGGCAGGUGGCCCUCUUCUGUCUCUGGUCUAUUACCCUCUCCUCAGGGUGAAGCAUUCUCUCUAGGAAUCCAGUCACUCUACUUAUUUACUCUACUCACUAUUCUUAAAAAAAAGAAGACAGAAAAAGAAAUAGAAAUUGUGUUGUCUUCUGUUCAUGGAUGAUGUGAUGUCUGGUUUCUAUUAAAUAUAAGAAUAUUAUGAUUGAAAUGAAAGUAUUUUGUAACAUAAAUAUUGCUACAAGAAAAGAAUCCCAAAAUGAGCUGAAAAUUUUUAUAUUAACAGCUUCAGAACAUAUGAAUGUAUUUAACCUAGUGCUUCUGAAUACUAAAAAAUUUAGGAUAAACAUACUUGAAACAUCUGUCUUAUAGAAAAUAUAAGUAAUUUAGAUUCUUGAUAAACAUUAUGCAUUGCAUUUUUAAAACACGGAUGAAUAAGAGCACUUAUUUUAAAUGCAGUGCUCAUAGAAUGUUUCCAAAUUUUUAGAAGUAGAUUAGUGGUGCAUAAAAUUAGCAUAAGGGUCCUUUAGUUUCUCCUCUCUGUGUCUUAGGCAAUUCUUGAUUGGUCAUGCUUUUUGUUUAUUUUGCAGUCUAGUGACUUUCACUUUUGACUAGAGUGUCUGUCCUUGUUCAAUGUCAAAUUCACUUUAAUUUCCCUUUUAUUAUUGACGUUUGUAUCAGUAAUUUCUAAAUCUUUCAAAAAAUCAUAUGCAAAUAAAAAGCAGUCUUUGGUUCCUUAUAAAUGCCUCAAACACUUUCUAAAACUAUAAAAAGAAUGCAAGUUAUUCUUCAGGGCAAAGAAAAAGGCAUAAUUGUUUUCUCUCAAGUCUUUUUAAAACCACAAAAAUAUGUAACCCAUUUAAAUUGCAGACAUUUCAAGUGACACCUGUUUCUGAUUUGACCACGUCAUUUUCCACUCUCUGUAGCACAACUGAAAGCUGAAGAACGUUUUGAACUAAGUGAGUGACAAAGGCAAUUAAAAAAAGAAACUGGCACAAUUUAGAAAGGGAGAAAAAUUCUCUAAUGAGAAUAAAAUCUGGCUAAGGGGUUGUGCGUUUUGAGUGGUUAUUCCAAAUGCUUCGGUAUCUGCCCUGUUGCCUUCCUUGGUGCCUGGGGUACCUGGAGGGGGUGUGGUUUUAGUGUGGGCAUCGCCACUCCUUCAGGAAGACUCUUGGGUUGAAGAACUGGGGAAAAGUGGUAAUAUCUGGACAAAGUGCCCUCACCCCAUCCUGCCGCCUCAGUGCAAUGCUCCUGGUGCUCACAGCAUCCCAGGAGACAAAGGACUAUUCUAGACAUAUAGAUCUGAGGUCAAGUCCUACCUCUGCUCUUGAUUAUUCUAGGACAUUAAGGCUCACAUAAUCACUCUGAUAAUUAGUUUUAGAAUGGGUACAAAUUAUCUAAUGGGUGCCCAUUAGAAUGGGUGCAAAUUAUUGCCCUUGACAUAUUUAUACUGCUGAUUAAAGUGAAAUAACAGUUGCUUUGGAAAAAGGUAACAAUAUGAUUAAAUAAAUUAUUCCAGUACUUUAAAUCUGAGUAAAACUCUCUGCAUGGGGUAGGUUCUUAAGAAAUAUUUGGUGACUGAUGGCCCAAAGCGAAAGUUAUUACUCAACUUCAUGUUUCAUCUCUGGCCCACAUGACCCAGUGGGGGCCCUCAGGGAGUGUGAAUGAGUAAAUGGGUGGGGUAGGGUGGUGUGGGAUGAGGUGGCAGUGUUCACAGUAACUAGGGUGAAGCCAUUGUCCACCUUGGUUUUGCCUCCUGGGACCCAUUUUCCAUAAGCUGCAUUGCAGCAAGUCUUUUGUGAAUCCCAUAAAGAGAAAAAAAUUCAAUCUAAAUUUGAUUGCUGCUGAUAAAGCACUCUUUUGGAGCUUUUAUUUGCUAUACUUUACAAAAGGAUAUAAUUUUCCAUGACACAAAUUAAUACAGUUCAAAAGCUUAUUAAGACCCACAUAAUACUCCUAGAUUUUGUCUACAAAAUUCAAGGGUUUCUUAGAAGAUUUUUAGGAGCUAUACAAGUUCUUAUUUCUCCUUAAUAUAAGUACAUGUUGCAAUAUAAUCAACUUUACCAAAUUACAAUGCUCCUUUCACAUUUUUGUGUAAAAAGGGAACCACUGAGAUUGAUGUUUUAUUCUUUGUCAUUGCUAUAUCUUGCCCAAAACUCUGUUAUAAAACCAAUGAGCUAUAUUUUGUUUGUUUUAUUUACAUGUCUGUCUCCACUAGACUGUAAACUCUUAAAGGGGAAGACUCUAUCUUAUUUAUCUGUUUAAAUCCUGCAAUGCUAGCACAUAAUUGUUCCACAUCAAUGUAGACUCAACGAAUGAAUGAAUCAUUUAAUUGACUACCAAACUGAUCACUUUAAAAAUAAGUUUAAUAAGAGGGACAACAUAUAAAAUAAUAUCUAACACUGAAGUAAAUUUACUGAGUAACCUUCUCAUUUUUCACUUCCAUUUUAGUGGAAUUGUAAAAAAGUUUGAAGAGAUCUAUUCCCAUUAAGUUUUAAAAAUAUAUAAUAUGAACUGGCUUAGGCAUUCUUGCUCCUUCUAGUAAGACCAUACCAAAAAUGUUUCUCAGCUAUUUUCUUUGCUUGCUUCCUCUCCCAUUGCUUCUCCUGCUUGCAAAAGCAAUGUCUGAACAUAAUUCUGACCCACGGGAAUGGGUAAGAAGGGGAAGCCACUAGGAGAAUGAUUAUU